UGAAAAGAGUCUGUUUUUAGUGUCCUAAGUACGUUCUAACAGAUAUGGAAUUAGUAAAAACCAUCAUCCUGCUAUAAUCUGAGUUCCUGAAAAGAGUGAUCUAAGUUUCCAGUAAACCAGCAAACAAGCCAAUGAGAGAGACUGUGUGUGUGAAAGACAGAAUAUUGGCUGGCAACCCUAAUCUUACCCCCAACCAAUAGCUAUGACUACUGGAUCAUAACCAAGUUUGUCAGCUGAAUUCCAGCUGCAGAAUUCAUGUCUCUCAUAACUAUAUGAGAGGGAGAAGAGG